AUUGAACGCUGGCGGCAUGCCUUACACAUGCAAGUCGAACGGCAGCACGGACUUCGGUCUGGUGGCGAGUGGCGAACGGGUGAGUAAUGUAUCGGAACGUACCUUUCAGUGGGGGAUAACGUAGCGAAAGUUACGCUAAUACCGCAUAUUCUGUGAGCAGGAAAGCAGGGGAUCGCAAGACCUUGCGCUGAUUGAGCGGCCGAUAUCAGAUUAGCUAGUUGGUGGGGUAAAGGCCUACCAAGGCUACGAUCUGUAGCGGGUCUGAGAGGAUGAUCCGCCACACUGGGACUGAGACACGGCCCAGACUCCUACGGGAGGCAGCAGUGGGGAAUUUUGGACAAUGGGGGCAACCCUGAUCCAGCCAUGCCGCGUGAGUGAAGAAGGCC
rnacentral:rRNA from 1 species